AUUGAACGCUGGCGGCAGGCCUAACACAUGCAAGUCGAGCGGAUGAAGGGAGCUUGCUCCUGGAUUCAGCGGCGGACGGGUGAGUAAUGCCUAGGAAUCUGCCUGGUAGUGGGGGAUAACGUCCGGAAACGGGCGCUAAUACCGCAUACGUCCUGAGGGAGAAAGUGGGGGAUCUUCGGACCUCACGCUAUCAGAUGAGCCUAGGUCGGAUUAGCUAGUUGGUGGGGUAAAGGCCUACCAAGGCGACGAUCCGUAACUGGUCUGAGAGGAUGAUCAGUCACACGGGAGGAGAGAAAGGGCCGCACCCCCUAGGGAGGGCAGCAGUCGGGAAUAUUGCAGAAGGGGGGAAGGCCUAAUACUGCAAGGCGGGGGGAGGAAAGAGGGACUUCGGAUGGUAAAGAUAUUAAGGUUGGGGGGAGGGAAAGAAAUUUUAUCCCUGGCGUUUUUGACGGUACCAAAAGAAUAAGCCCCGGCUAACUUCGUG
rnacentral:rRNA from 1 species